rnacentral:rRNA from 1 species
UACGUAGGGUGCAAGCGUUAAUCGGAAUACUGGGCGUAAAGCGUGCGCAGGCGGUUCGCUAAGACAGAUGUGAAAUCCCCGGGCUUAACCUGGGAACUGCAUUUGUGACUGGCGGGCUAGAGUAUGGCAGAGGGGGGUAGGAAUUCCACGUGUAGCAGUGAAAUGCGUAGAGAUGUGGAGGAAUACCGAUGGCGAAGGCAGCCCCCUGGGCCAAUACUGACGCUCAUGCACGAAAGCGUGGGGAGCAAACAGG